CCUACGGGUGGCAGCAGUGAGGAAUAUUGGUCAAUGGACGCAAGUCUGAACCAGCCAUGCCGCGUGCAGGAAGACGGCUCUAUGAGUUGUAAACUGCUUUUGUACGAGGGUAAACGCAGAUACGCGUAUCUGUCUGAAAGUAUCGUACGAAUAAGGAUCGGCUAACUCCGUGCCAGCAGCCGCGGUAAUACGGAGGAUUCAAGCGUUAUCCGGAUUUAUUGGGUUUAAAGGGUGCGUAGGCGGGUUGAUAAGUUAGUGGUGAAAUUCCGAGGCUCAACUUCGGAAUUGCCACUGAUACUGUUAGGCUAGAGAGUAGUUGCGGUAGGCGGAAUGUAUGGUGUAGCGGUGAAAUGCUUAGAGAUCAUACAGAACACCGAUUGCGAAGGCAGCUUACCAAGCUACUUCUGACGUUGAGGCACGAAAGCGUGGGGAGCAAACAGGAUUAGAUACCCGAGUAGUC
rnacentral:rRNA from 1 species